GACGAACGCUGGCGGCGUGCCUAAUACAUGCAAGUUGAGCGCUGAAGGUUGGUACUUGUACCAACUGGAUGAGCAGCGAACGGGUGAGUAACGCGUGGGGAAUCUGCCUUUGAGCGGGGGACAACAUUUGGAAACGAAUGCUAAUACCGCAUAAAAACUUUAAACACAAGUUUUAAGUUUGAAAGAUGCAAUUGCAUCACUCAAAGAUGAUCCCGCGUUGUAUUAGCUAGUUGGUGAGGUAAAGGCUCACCAAGGCGAUGAUACAUAGCCGACCUGAGAGGGUGAUCGGCCACAUUGGGACUGAGACACGGCCCAAACGCCUACGGGAGGCAGCAGUAGGGAAUCUUCGGCAAUGGACGAAAGUCUGACCGAGCAACGCCGAGUGAGUGAAGAAGGUUUUCGGAUCGUAAAACUCGGUUGGUAGAGAAGAACGUUGGUGAGAGUGGAAAGCUCAUCAAGUGACGGUAACUACCCAGAAAGGGACGGCUAACUACGUG
rnacentral:rRNA from 1 species